rnacentral:rRNA from 1 species
CUGCAUGGUAGGGGGGGAUCACCUUUCUAAGGGAACGCUCWUACCGCAUACGUCCUACGGGAGAARGAUUGGCACCUUCUGGCCUUGCGCUAUCAGAUGAGCCUAGGUCGGAUUAGCUAKUUGGUGAAGUAAUGGCUCACCRGAGCGACRAUCCAUAACUGGUCUGACACGAUGAUCWCUACUCUGGAACUGACACUGGUCCARACUCCUACKGGACGCAACCUGGGGAAUAUUGGACAAUGGGCUGAGCCUGAUCCASCCAUGCCRCGUGUGUGAACCSGGUCUUCKGAUUGUAAAGCACUUUAAAUUGGGAGGAAGGGCACUUCGUUAAUACCUUGCUGUUUUGACRUUACCGGCUAGAAUAAGCUCCGAAUUAACUCUGUGCCAAGCAGCACGUAGUAAUACAAUUUGGUGUCAAGGGGUUAAUCUCSAAUUACUGRGCGUWGAGCGCGCGUUUGUGGCUUGUUAUCUUGAAUAUGAAAGCSCCRRGCUCAAUUUGGGAACUGCAUCYRAAACUGG